AUAAUAAUUAGAGUUUCUGAUAGAAGCAGUAUUUCUUAUUUUUUAUAGAGAGAGGUGAACCAAAAAAAUUAAAGAGAGAGGUUAAAGUGUUUUGUUUCUAUCUCUAGGGCUUUUUGAUAUGCAAAAACAAUUAUAGAAGGUUUUCCUUCUAAAAAUCUCAUAAGGUUUGAAACUUCCUAAAUGUUUAAAGUUGGUAUUCUCCAAUGAAAGUUGGAAAGAAGUUACUCUUUUGAGAAAGAGAGGAAGAUGAAAUAGUUCUCAUAGACAUCACCCUAUAUAUUUUUUUUUUAUUCAUAAUCGUCAAGUUGUGGCUAGUUAAUUUCAAAAGAACUGUUUUAAUUGUUUUCUACGUAGUGGAUUUUAUCUGAGGUUCCCUGGGGUUUUUUCCUUCUUUGAAGCGUUAUCCACGCAAUUCCUCUGUGUUUGAUUUGGUUCUGACUUCCUGUAAAUUUUUAUAUUUUUGACAUUUGGCAGUUUUUCCUUGAUUCACAGAUAGACAGCAAGACACUGCUUCCCAACGAGAGAGAGAGAGAGAGCGAGAGAGAGAGAGAGAGAGAGAUGUAGAUUGAGAGAAAUGACAAUAGUGGGUGCGAGAAGGAAUCGAAAAUGGAAAA
rnacentral:lncRNA from 1 species